UUUUUCUUUUUACUCUAUUUGAAAUUUAAAUGAUUGAAUAUAGUCAACAUAUUUUUGGAUUUCCUUCUCUUCGUUUAACGUUAGCCUUUAAGUAAACAAUAUGUUCAGUCUUUUUUUUACCCACGUUGUAUGCUGUCUGCCUUUUUGCGGACCGGCGGUGAAGCGAAUUCGCUUCCUGGCAUCGAUCCAGGGAAUGAAAAUAAUUGAUUUUGGACUCGCGCUUUUGAUAGUUGGUGUUAUAAGGCACUGUUAGACUAGAUCUUGAAUCUAGAGUGCCCUAAUUUUUUUAUUACCUGUUUGAAACUUUCAUUUUAGAUGUGUCAACUUGUCAAGUUUUUGACAUGGAAAGCCUUUUGACAUCCUUAAAAAAGAAAAAUUAAGACAAGCCAAAGGGGUUUUGCGUCCGCUGGUAAAUCCCCAGCAUAGUGUUGCUAAAAUAAACUCCCUAUGGUAUAUAUAAAGCAAAUGUUUCAUUUUAUGGAAUUGAAUUUAGAGUCGAGGUCUGAAUUUAUUCCCGAGACUGACGAUUCUUGCCGAUUUUUUUUUUAAGCCCUGGCCCUGUUCAGUCGUCGAAACCCAUUCAUUAAGAAUCUGUGCCCACGCCAUGUUCUAUUCUUCGCUGGUGGAAUCUAUUUCUAAUCUAGUCUAUAAAUUGCCAACUGGCUAGACUACUUUAGUCUUUAGAACUUUGAUUUGAAUUCACAUUUCAGUCUGCAUUGUGACUCAAGUUGAAACGGUUGUGGUAGGGGAGGGAAGUAGGUUUAGCCUAUUCUAUAAAGCCGUCAGGUCCGACCGCUGCUGCGUUCGCUUUUCUUGGAAAGCGUGAUUCCAUUCAAUUGUGAACUUACGCACAGCGCCACAUAGCGGUGGUUUCAAAUUUACUAGCCUAGCCCAGAUGACUGUCUGAUUCAGUUUUCAAAUAUCUUUGUUAUGCGGUGUUCACAAUCUACAGGAGUAAUGAAGCCAAGUAUGACAUUUCUCAGUCCAGCAGGUUGGGCUACUCUGGAUAAAUCUACAUUUCGCCGAGCUAUCGGCCUCGACCGAAUUUAACUCUGGUGGACCCACCGUGUUUACACGUACAGAUCUAAAUGCAAAACAAUAGCCUGGCUAAUGACAGAAAAGAUGGAGAUCUAGAUUCUAGAUAUGUUGCUUUUUCAUCAAGCCCUGCUGUCCAGUCUGCCUUCUGGAUUAUGAUGGUGCUGCUCCCAGUCCAGCUCCUGCUUUUGAAGAGCCCAGAAUGUUCUACUCCCAAGGUCUGCGUCUCCAGUGGUGGCAUCUCCUGAGCACUCUAGUGCAGUCUGCUGUCUCUGAAACUCCUCUACAUCAAGCCAAGAAAUCAAGACAGGCUGCAGUAACAGUACAGCUCACAGUUGAUGACCUGUCAUCUCAUACCGAGAGCAGGUCAUCUUCUUCAACAAGACCCUGGAGGGGUACAGAUACCUAGAGGAAGAAUGCCCUGCCCUGGUGGAGCUUUCAAGACUAUGGGAAAGACAGCUGCAGGAUUAAAGGCCUGGUUUGACUCCAUGAUGAGGAGGACCCAGUUUGGCAAAAUGCAGAAAAAGGGACUGAUGGGUAAGAUGCUAAUUGCCAUGGAUAAUUGGAUCCUGAAUCGGUUCUGCUUCCUAAAGGACCACAUCCGCAGGAUGGCAGGCUGGGAAAUGUCCACAGUACAGCAACCUGGACUUCCUCCUCACGCCAGGAGGAACUGGUGCAAGUUGGAAGGCCUCCCAUCUGCCAGCUCCCAGGGGACAAAGGGGCUUUGAACAUUUAGCAGACCACUAGAUCUACUCCGGUAGGGGGCAGGGGGGUGUUUCACACACACACACACACACACCCUGCUAAAGUCACAAAUCUUCAAUUUUACCCAAAAGGCAAAAGGGGAAGAGGUUCCAGCCGGCCUCACCAUCCUGGAGAUGUGCAGCUGAGGGAGAUAACAGCAUGCUCUAUUGAAGAACUAGGUUGAAAGGGGGAUCCUGGAAAAGCUUCCGCACGACCAUCUUCCUGCAGGGGCUCAACCUAUCACCAGAGCUGCGGGAACUCGGCCACAGCAUCCUGUCCUGCAAGUUUUGUGUCAUCCUACUAGCUUUAGCCUUUAUCCUCCUGGAAGUCAGCACCUCCAAGUGGCCAGCCCGUCAUUACAGAAUGAGGCCUGUCGGGAUUUUUCCCGAGCCUGUCUCCCCGCCUUAUGUCAGAACCCCAGCCACUGCCCCUGCAAAUAUGUGAGCAGCAGCAGCAGCAAACCACCCGGCCCUUUUCAGGGUUAAUUAAAUCAUUCAAAAGCAACA
rnacentral:lncRNA from 1 species